AAGUCGUAACAAGGUAACCGUAGGUGAACCUGCGGUUGGAUCAUUAAAAAAUCCAGAGGUCGGGUCAGGCUCGCUUGAUGCCGAUCUCUAAAACCGGUCUUCGGACCUUCAACCUUGUGUGAACCGUUAUUGACGCUGGUCAGAUUACCUUUGGUGCUGGCCAGUUUAUUUUAAACUUUGUUUUGUUUUUCUUAAAAGUAUUCGAAUGAGUACAACUUUUGACAAUGGAUCUCUUGGCUCUC
rnacentral:misc_RNA from 1 species